UCUCUUAAUGACGUUUAGGGAGGCAGAAAGUGACAGUAGGGUUAUAGAAGGGUAGUGACUGUCCAGCCUUGAUAUCACCCACGCCUGACUCUUUCCACUGUCCUUCCCAGAGCGCUCAGCGGGGGAAUCCAGACUGCGAGGGCUCCAGGAGGCUGUCGCGGAGACUCCUGAGUGGGACAGCUCUGAGAUGUUCCUGGCACCGCACAUUCCUCUGAGGAGUUUCCUGUGAGCCCGGAAAGCAAAUGUUCACUCGGUCGCCAGCCACGCGGAGCAGACUCAUUUUGGGACUUGUCCUACUACUUGUGAUUUUGGAGACACAGCCAGCAUGAACAGGAAGUCAGCCAUAGAAGGAUGGGAGACUUUCUCUCAGCUUUUCUGAAACUCUGCGAGCUGGGAACAUGGAAGGGAAGGAGGAAGAGCUUGAAGAGGUCAGUGGAAGCAGGCAGCUACGGCUGAGUUAAGUUGAAGUCCUCUUGUCUGAGGAGUUUGUGACUCUCAAGGAUGUAGCCAUGGAUUUCACUCUGGAAGACUGGGAAGAGCUGGAUCUGAUCUGGAUCAGAGAGAUCUGUUCUGGGAUUUGAUGCUGAACAGCUACCAGGACCUUUUCUUGCUCAGACAGCAUGUGUGAUGCCUGAUGUUCCUGCAAAGAACCUCAUACCAGUGACACUGAAGGAAUCCAGGACUGACUUCGGCCACUACUCAGAACAGCUGGAAGGACUCUGUCCAGGGAGAAGAGAAGCUAUGUAAGUGUAGUGAGUGUGGGAAAAGCUUCAGCCAGAGUUACCACCUUCUCCAGCACUGGAUUGUCCAUGUGAGGGAGAAUGCCCUGCAUAGCAUGAGCAGGGGAGGGGCCUCAGCAAGGGUGCUUUCCUUCUCAUGCAUCCAGUGACUCAAACAAGCUACAAAUCAUACAUGUGUCAGGAGUGUGGGAAAAGGUUUAGUCAGAAUAUGUACCUCCAGUAGCAUCAGAAAAUUCACAUUGGAGAAAGCCUGUGUAAAACAUCUCAAAGUGAUGACUGAGAAAAUCCCUCCAAGAGUCAAAGUGGUGAGCCACAAAGCUGCUGCAGAGUAAGGUGCUGACUCAGCAAGCGCUGUAAACCUCAAGGUUGGGACAAAAGAAACCACUGACUAGUAAUAGUAGUGACCAAAACAGCUGCACCAGAGUCCAUCCAGUCUUCAUCCAUAGCCUAGUAAGCAUCAGAAAACUCCUACAAACAUUAAGUCCUACAGAUGUGGGAAUGUGGGCAGACAUUGAGCCAGGCCUUUCAUCUGGACACCAGAGGGGCCACACUCAGAAACUUUAUGAAUGCACUACAUGCCUUGAAAUCUUCCACAUAAGGAAACAUUUUGUCCAACAUUGAAAAAUUCAUUUUGUACAAACUGUCUUUCAAAGACAGAGUGUCAAGGAUGCAAAAAGACCUUUAAUCAGAGACCAUCACUCAUUGAGCACCAGGCUGUUCGUCCAGGAGAGAAGCCAUGCAAGUGUAAUGGGUGUGGGAAAGCUUUCAACUGCUCCUCCACCCUGAUGAUCCACCAGAGGCUCACAGUGGAGAGAAGCCUUACAGAUGCAGUGAGUGUGGGAAACGUCCUGUCUGAGCACACCUAACGAGCACCGCUGAUCCGCUCAGCCCACAGACCUUACUAGUGUCCAGAAUGCGUCAGGAGUUUCAGCCGUCCCUCGUAUUUGAUUCGGCAUCAGCCGAGGAGUCACGCCACAGAAAAGCUCCUUGGCUGUGCUAAGUGCAAGGAGACCUUCAGCCAUAAAGAACAACUAGUGCAGGACCAUAAAGUUCCCAGAGUCCCCGUGGGAAUGUAAGCCGCGUGGAGAACACUUCAUUUGCAGCUCAACUCUGAAUUGCCUCCUGAGUAUUCACACCAGAGAAAAUCCAAGCGAGAAGGUUGGGUCAGAGCUCAAGGCAUGCUGGGAAAGCUUUAAGUGUGCUGAGGGUGGAAGAGGUCUCAACCACAACAGAUCCCUGGGCGUGAGGAGAGUCACACCAAGAUGACAUCCUGUGAGUGGAACAGAGUAUGCACCUCAUUAGCCUUCAGAGCGUCCAUGCUGGUAUGAAGACAAAUGAAUGCAUGUAUGACAGCUCUGUCACUGAGCGUCAGACUUCCCACAGUGAGCACCCCUUUAAAUGUAACAAAUGCAGCAGAACCUUUAAUCAGAGAGACCACCUUUUGAAAUCAGUUGUUCACACUGGAGAGAAACCCUUUAAAUGCGAUUUAUGUGACAGAGCCUUUAAACAGAGUAACUACCUUAUUCAGCACCAGAGAAUAAAUACUGCAAAGAAGCACUUUGAGUGUAGUGAGUGUGGGAACAUGUUUAGUCAGAGUUCAUGCCUUUCUAAGCAUCAGAAAAUUCACACAGGGGAGAAGCCUUUUAAAUGUAGUGACUGUGGGAAAGCCUUCAUCUUGGGUGCCCAACUCAUCCGAUAGCAUAGAAUUCACACUGGGGAAGAGCUGUGUGUUUGUCAGGGGUGUGGGAAAGCCUCCAGCCAGAGUGUCUGCCUUUCUCUGCACCGUGGAGCUCACAGGGGUGAGAAGCCAAACAAUAUAGCAAAUGCGGGAAAACCUUUUCCCAAAAAGCAAAUUAAAAGAAGCACGAGAGGAUUCCUGGUGGAGAAGCUUACACCUGUGAUGUGUAGUAAAGCGCUUAUCUCAACACCAGAGAACUCACACCCAGGAGAAAUCACAUGGUCAGGACUGUCCCAAAGCCUUUCACAGCUGCUCUGCUCUCAGCAAACACCAGCAACUUCAGACUUGUAAAGUAACAAGUAGCACUGUCCAGAGCCUCUUGGUGACAGCAGAGUCCCAUACAUUUGAAGGCAUUCAUAUGAAGUCAGCCAUUGAAACCAGCAUAUUACAAACCUCCCCUCCCAAUAAGUCCUAUAAAAGUUGAUGAGACAGCUGGGCGGUGGUGGCACAUGCCUUUAAUCCCAGCACUCGGGAGGC